CCUCUUUUUCCUUUUUAGGUGUUCCUGGGAGUAAUUGCUGCACCAGGUGUUCCACAUCACCCUCAUCAGCAGGUUCAGGAGCAGGUGGAACGCUGCCAAUCAGACCUCACUCUCUCAGCAUUUAAGCAGACGCUACUCACCUCUCAGUGCCAGAUCGUGAUACAGCCUUUUCGGAUCUGCCUGGUCUCACCUGGAUUCUUCGCCGUCUUCUUCACUCGGGAUUAAUCCAUCACAGCCGUUCCUUGGCGUCUUCUCCAUACCUACCUGCCGUCUCAAGUUCUCCCUGGUUUUCGUCCACAUGAGGUCCUCCAGCGUGAGCCCAGUCCGAGCGUCAGCCUAGAUUCAGUUGUGAUUGUUUAUCGAAGUUAUUUUGGGUGGCAUUUUUGUGCCCUAUUGUUAUAGUUUAGCCUGUGUUUCCAGAAGUGUGCAUUCGAGCCUGUUGUUUGCGUUAGGGUUUAGAGC
ensembl:lncRNA